rnacentral:rRNA from 1 species
CCUACGGGAGGCAGCAGUGAGGAAUAUUGGUCAAUGGACGAGAGUCUGAACCAGCCAAGUAGCGUGAAGGAUGACUGCCCUAUGGGUUGUAAACUUCUUUUAUAUGGGAAUAAAAUGUUCCACGUGUGGGAUUUUGUAUGUACCAUAUGAAUAAGGAUCGGCUAACUCCGGGCCAGCAGCCUCGGUAAUACGGAGGAUCCGAGCGUUAUCCGGGUUUUUUGGGUUUAAAGGGAGCGUGGGUGGAUUGUUAAGUCAGUUGUGAAAGUUUGCGGCUCAACCGUAAAAUUGCAGUUGAAACUGGCAGUCUUGAGUACAGUAGAGGUGGGCGGAAUUCGUGGUGUAGCGGUGAAAUGCUUAGAUAUCACGAAGAACCCCGAUUGCGAAGGCAGCUCACUGGACUGCAACUGACACUGAGGCUCGAAAGUGUGGGUAUCAAACAGGAUUAGAUACCCUAGUAGUC